UACAGAGGGGCAAGCGUUGUUCGGAAUUACUGGCGUAAAGGGCGCGUAGGCGGCCUUCUAAGUCGAACGUGAAAUCCCCGGGGCUCAACCCGGGAACUGGCCGUCCGAUACUGGAAGGCUUGAAUCCGGGAGAGGGAUGCGGAAUUCCAGGGUGUAGCGGUGAAAUGCGUAGAUAUCAGGAGGAACACCAAUGGCGAAGGCAGCACUCUGGGAACGUGACUGGACGCUGAG
rnacentral:rRNA from 1 species